CCUACGGGGGGCAGCAGUGAGGAAUAUUGGUCAAUGGCCGUAAGGCUGAACCAGCCAAGUCGCGUGAAGGAAGAAGGAUCUAUGGUUUGUAAACUUCUUUUAUAGGGGAAUAAAGGUAUCCACGUGUGGCUGUUUGCAUGUACCCUAUGAAUAAGCAUCGGCUAACUCCGUGCCAGCAGCCGCGGUAAUACGGAGGAUGCGAGCGUUAUCCGGAUUUAUUGGGUUUAAAGGGUGCGUAGGUUGUUUUUUAAGUCAGCGGUGAAAGUUUGUGGCUCAACCGUAAAAUUGCAAUUGAUACUGGCAGUCUUGAGUACAGUUGAGGUAGGCGGAAUUCGUGGUGUAGCGGUGAAAUGCAUAGAUAUCACGAAGAACCCCGAUUGCGAAGGCAGCUUACUAAACUGUGACUGACAUUGAUGCUCGAAAGUGUGGGUAUCAAACAGGAUUAGAUACCCCGGUAGUC
rnacentral:rRNA from 1 species